UUUUACUGUUUUAUUAUUAUUCUAAUCUCUUAAAUAAUUUUGUUAUUCUUAUCUAAUAACAUAAAUAAAUCUUUGAUGUUAUAAAUACUAUUUUGUAUUACUGCAUUUACGGUAAUUUAGGUAUUAUUUCCCAUUGUUAUUUUUAUGUAAUGUAAACUAUAAAGAUUACGUAACCUCAAACAAAACGUGUUUUCUUUCUUACUGUUAGAUGAGAUGUUAUGAUUUAGAUUGAUUACACAUAACGUUACUGCCUGACGUUAGCUUAGUAAGGCUGGGAGCCUUGCAAGCUAGCAGAACAGUUUCCAACAACGCCUAGCUGUUUUAAUUACACGUUAUAUAUUGUCUAUACAAUAUAUGUAUAAAUACAAAACGUGACAGGUUGGUUUUGAAUUGUUUACCGACCAAAAGGGGGACUAGUUAACAGAAAACCUAACUCUUCAGGAAGCCAGACCAGUCUAGCAGCAAUAUUCAUCUGUGCACCAUAUGUGAUUUCAAAAGCCCCCAGGUUCCAGUGCUUGACAUUACAUCAGCAUAUGGCAGUGAAGGAUCAAAAGAUGCCUCCUAGCUUGGACUUGUAGGACUCCCUCCAGGACCAAGCAGGAAACCACAGGAAUGAUGUUCUGAGUCACAUCCUACUGAGACGUGUUUAAUGACUGAGCCAUGAAUGGUGUCCAAGAGUGACAAAACCAGAUGGUUUUGGAUGCUGGUGCUGCAACCUGAGCGAACAUCGUCCCUGCAGCGGCCAACUUUGUGAUCGAUAUUCAGACUAAAACAAGUGUCUCACUGGAACUCUGCCCCUGUGAAGACAGAUAUGCAAGAUUCAGUGUGUCCUGUUCACUGUUCCCAAAAUAUUUUUUCCCAUCAAUUUGUCACAUCGGUUAUCUUGUAUCGUAAAAUGUAUUGUAUUUGGAAACCUCUGCCAUCGUAACACUACAUCAAAGACUUCUGUUUGUUUAAAGGAAAAAGGAUGCUUUAUGCAAGUGUUUAUUAGUGUAAGUUGAGAUUCAUAUGCAAGGGCCCCCACAGGAGCAAGUCCACGUUUAUAAAUGAGGCUCUUUUGCUGCGCUCAUUAUUUACUAACUGAGAAGAUCAAGGGCUCUUUAUUCAGGUUGUUUCAGCACCCCUGGGUGUUUUACAAUAGCUCUAGGUGUUUCUGUUUUUUAAUUGGGAGCCAGAAUCCAGUUUGAGGCCCUUGCAAAAUGUACAGUAGGGGGCUGGGGGCAUUGAGGGCUUAAUAGGACUGCAUUGUAAUGUUUUAUGGUAGUGGAAAAUGAAUAUGGGAAAGUGUGACACCUUU